rnacentral:rRNA from 1 species
UAUCUCUGUAGAGUCUGCAUAUCAAUAAGCGGAGGAAAAGAAACUAACAAGGAUUCCCCUAGUAACGGCGAGUGAAGCGGGAAGAGCUCAAAUUUGAAAUCUUCAAGGUUUACCUUGACGAAUUGUAGUUUAAAGAAGUGUUUUCGGUUAGAGGAGUAGUAAAAGUUCUUUGGAAUAGGACAUCAUAGAGGGUGAGAAUCCCGUAUUUGACUAUUCUUUCUAGCUUUGUGAUACACUUUCAAAGAGUCGGAUUGUUUGGGAAUGCAGUCCAAAAUGGGUGGUAAAUUUCAUCUAAAGCUAAAUGUUGGCGAGAGACCGAUAGCGAACAAGUACCGUGAGGGAAAGAUGAAGAGAACUUUGAAAAGAGAGUUAAACAGUACGUGAAAUUGUCAAAAGGGAAGCGUUUGACACCAGUGUUGUUUUUCCGAAAAUCAAUUAAAAAUUGAUUCAUGCCAGGUUGUAUUGACCUUAUCAGCUUGCAAUUUGGUUUUGGGUCUCUUUUUGAUGCACUUUUCGGUUAACAAGUCAACAUCAAUUUCCUUUGCUGUAAAAAGGUAAGAGGAAGGUGGCUUCAAUUUCGGUUGAAGUGUUUAUAGCCUUUUAUCUCUGCAGUCGGGGAGAUUGAGGUCUGCAGCGUAGAUCCUUCGGGGCUAGAUACAUUUAUGCUAAGUUAUAGCUUUUCAUAGACAACUUGUUGACUAUGUUUAGUCAUGUAGCUUACUCGUAAGUGCUAUUUUACCUACGCUUAGGAUGUUGAGCGCAUGUCUCUCUCU